rnacentral:pre_miRNA from 1 species
GUGUCCCUAAGGGAUCCUCCGAACACUUCAUUGGGACAUUUUAUUAGUUAAGACUUCCUACUGAAGACAUUUUAUUAGUUAAGACUUCCUACUGAAGUGUUUGGGGGAACUCCAAGUGCCAC